rnacentral:rRNA from 1 species
GGCGAACGGGUGAGUAACGCGUGAGCAAUCUACCUUAGUUACUGGGAUAGCCCGAGGAAACUCGGAUUAAUACCGGAUAUUCUUAUUUUUUCACAUGAAGUUUUAAGGAAAGGUCAGCCGAACUAAGAUGAGCUCGCGUUCUAUCAGCUAGUUGGUGGGGUAAAAGCCUACCAAGGCAACGACGGAUAGCUGGUCUGAGAGGACGAUCAGCCACACUGGGACUGAGACACGGCCCAGACUCCUACGGGAGGCUGCAGCAGGGAAUAUUGUGCAAUGAGCGAAAGCUUGACACAGCGACACCGCGUGUGGGAUGACGGUUCUAGGAUUGUAAACCACUUUCAGGAGGGAAGAAAAUGACGGUACCUCCACAAGAAGACCCGGCCAACUAUGUGCCAGCAGCCGCGGUAAUACAUAGGGGUCAAGCGUUGUCCGGAUUUAUUGGGCGUAAAGAGCUCGUAGGCGGUUCAACAAGUCGGUCGUAAAAGUUUAGGGCUCAACCCUAAAAUGUCGAUCGAUACUGUUGUGACUAGGAUACGGUAGAGGUGAAUGGAAUUCCGAGUGUAGCGGUGAAAUGCGUAGAUAUUCGGAGGAACACCAAUUGCGAAGGCAGUUCACUGGACCGUGAUCGACGCUGAGGAGCGAAAGCUAGGGGAGCAAACAGGAUUAGAUACCCUGGUAGUCCUAGCUGU